rnacentral:rRNA from 1 species
AUUGAACGCUGGCGGCAGGCUUAACACAUGCAAGUCGAGCGGGGUGAUGGUGCUUGCACUAUCACUUAGCGGCGGACGGGUGAGUAAUGCUUAGGAAUCUGCCUAUUAGUGGGGGACAACAUCUCGAAAGGGAUGCUAAUACCGCAUACGUCCUACGGGAGAAAGCAGGGGAUCACUUGUGACCUUGCGCUACUAGAUGAGCCUAAGUCGGAUUAGCUAGUUGGUGGGGUAAAGGCCUACCAAGGCGACGAUCUGUAGCGGGUCUGAGAGGAUGAUCCGCCACACUGGGACUGAGACACGGCCCAGACUCCUACGGGAGGCAGCAGUGAAGAAUAUUGGACAAUGGGGGGAACCCUGAACCAGCCAUGCCGCGUGUGUGAAGAAGGCCUUAUGGUUAUCAAGAACAGAAAGCGAGGAGGAGGCUAAGGGGGGGAAGACCCAAGAUGAGUGGACGUUACUCGCAGAAUAAGCACCGGCUAACUCUGUGCCAGCAGCCGCGGUAA